UGACCACUUUCACUUUGGAAAGUUUAGGCCAUGCGGACAGCCGGGUCAACUGCCGA
rnacentral:sRNA from 2 species